UACGUAGGGUGCGAGCGUUAAUCGGAAUUACUGGGCGUAAAGCGUGCGCAGGCGGUUCGUUAAGUCAGCUGUGAAAGCCCCCGAGCUUAACUUGGGAAUUGCGGUUGAAACUGGCGGACUAGAAUCUGGCAGAGGGGGGGUGGAAUUCCACGUGUAGCAGUGAAAUGCGUAGAGAUGUGGAGGAACACCGAUGGCGAAGGCAGCCCCCUGGGCUGAGAUUGACGCUCAGGCACGAAAGCGUGGGGAGCAAACAGG
rnacentral:rRNA from 1 species